GGAGGGGUGGCCGAGUGGUUUAAGGCGCCAGUCUUGAAAACUGGAGUAGGGUAACACCUACCGUGAGUUCGAAUCUCACCCCCUCCG
rnacentral:tRNA from 1 species